AUUGAACGCUGGCGGCAUGCUUUACACAUGCAAGUCGAACGGUAACAGGCCGCAAGGUGCUGACGAGUGGCGAACGGGUGAGUAAUGCAUCGGAACGUGCCCAGUCGUGGGGGAUAACGCAGCGAAAGCUGUGCUAAUACCGCAUACGAUCUAUGGAUGAAAGCGGGGGACCGUAAGGCCUCGCGCGAUUGGAGCGGCCGAUGUCAGAUUAGGUAGUUGGUGGGGUAAAGGCCCACCAAGCCAACGAUCUGUAGCUGGUCUGAGAGGACGACCAGCCACACUGGGACUGAGACACGGCCCAGACUCCUACGGGAGGCAGCAGUGGGGAAUUUUGGACAAUGGGCGCAAGCCUGAUCCAGCAAUGCCGCGUGCAGGAAGAAGGCCUUCGGGUUGUAAACUGCUUUUGUACGGAACGAAAAGGUCUGGGUUAAUACCCUGGGCUGAUGACGGUACCGUAAGAAUAAGCACCGGCUAACUACGUGCCAGCAGCCGCCGUAACAC
rnacentral:rRNA from 1 species